GGGUUGUGAGGUUAAGCGACUAAGCGUACACGGUGGAUGCCCUGGCAGUCAGAGGCGAUGAAGGACGUGCUAAUCUGCGAUAAGCGUCGGUGAGGUGAUAUGAACCGUUAUAACCGGCGAUUUCCGAAUGGGGAAACCCAGUGUGUUUCGACACACUAUCAUUAACUGAAUCCAUAGGUUAAUGAGGCGAACCGGGGGAACUGAAACAUCUAAGUACCCCGAGGAAAAGAAAUCAACCGAGAUUCCCCCAGUAGCGGCGAGCGAACGGGGAGGAGCCCAGAGCCUGAAUCAGUGUGUGUGUUAGUGGAAGCGUCUGGAAAGGCGCGCGAUACAGGGUGACAGCCCCGUACACAAAAAUGCACAUAUUGUGAGCUCGAUGAGUAGGGCGGGACACGUGGUAUCCUGUCUGAAUAUGGGGGGACCAUCCUCCAAGGCUAAAUACUCCUGACUGACCGAUAGUGAACCAGUACCGUGAGGGAAAGGCGAAAAGAACCCCGGCGAGGGGAGUGAAAAAGAACCUGAAACCGUGUACGUACAAGCAGUGGGAGCCUCUUAAUGGGGUGACUGCGUACCUUUUGUAUAAUGGGUCAGCGACUUAUAUUCUGUAGCAAGGUUAACCGAAUAGGGGAGCCGAAGGGAAACCGAGUCUUAACUGGGCGUUAAGUUGCAGGGUAUAGACCCGAAACCCGGUGAUCUAGCCAUGGGCAGGUUGAAGGUUGGGUAACACUAACUGGAGGACCGAACCGACUAAUGUUGAAAAAUUAGCGGAUGACUUGUGGCUGGGGGUGAAAGGCCAAUCAAACCGGGAGAUAGCUGGUUCUCCCCGAAAGCUAUUUAGGUAGCGCCUCGUGAAUUCAUCUCCGGGGGUAGAGCACUGUUUCGGCAAGGGGGUCAUCCCGACUUACCAACCCGAUGCAAACUGCGAAUACCGGAGAAUGUUAUCACGGGAGACACACGGCGGGUGCUAACGUCCGUCGUGAAGAGGGAAACAACCCAGACCGCCAGCUAAGGUCCCAAAGUCAUGGUUAAGUGGGAAACGAUGUGGGAAGGCCCAGACAGCCAGGAUGUUGGCUUAGAAGCAGCCAUCAUUUAAAGAAAGCGUAAUAGCUCACUGGUCGAGUCGGCCUGCGCGGAAGAUGUAACGGGGCUAAACCAUGCACCGAAGCUGCGGCAGCGACACUAUGUGUUGUUGGGUAGGGGAGCGUUCUGUAAGCCUGUGAAGGUGGCCUGUGAGGGUUGCUGGAGGUAUCAGAAGUGCGAAUGCUGACAUAAGUAACGAUAAAGCGGGUGAAAAGCCCGCUCGCCGGAAGACCAAGGGUUCCUGUCCAACGUUAAUCGGGGCAGGGUGAGUCGACCCCUAAGGCGAGGCCGAAAGGCGUAGUCGAUGGGAAACAGGUUAAUAUUCCUGUACUUGGUGUUACUGCGAAGGGGGGACGGAGAAGGCUAUGUUGGCCGGGCGACGGUUGUCCCGGUUUAAGCGUGUAGGCUGGUUUUCCAGGCAAAUCCGGAAAACCAAGGCUGAGGCGUGAUGACGAUNNNNNNNNNNNNNNNNNNNNNNNNNNNNNNNNNNNNNNNNNNNNNNNNNNNNNNNNNNNNNNNNNNNNNNNNNNNNNNNNNNNNNNNNNNNNNNNNNNAACAAAUGCCCUGCUUCCAGGAAAAGCCUCUAAGCAUCAGGUAACAUCAAAUCGUACCCCAAACCGACACAGGUGGUCAGGUAGAGAAUACCAAGGCGCUUGAGAGAACUCGGGUGAAGGAACUAGGCAAAAUGGUGCCGUAACUUCGGGAGAAGGCACGCUGAUAUGUAGGUGAAGCGACUUGCUCGUGGAGCUGAAAUCAGUCGAAGAUACCAGCUGGCUGCAACUGUUUAUUAAAAACACAGCACUGUGCAAACACGAAAGUGGACGUAUACGGUGUGACGCCUGCCCGGUGCCGGAAGGUUAAUUGAUGGGGUUAGCGGUAACGCGAAGCUCUUGAUCGAAGCCCCGGUAAACGGCGGCCGUAACUAUAACGGUCCUAAGGUAGCGAAAUUCCUUGUCGGGUAAGUUCCGACCUGCACGAAUGGCGUAAUGAUGGCCAGGCUGUCUCCACCCGAGACUCAGUGAAAUUGAACUCGCUGUGAAGAUGCAGUGUACCCGCGGCAAGACGGAAAGACCCCGUGAACCUUUACUAUAGCUUGACACUGAACAUUGAGCCUUGAUGUGUAGGAUAGGUGGGAGGCUUUGAAGUGUGGACGCCAGUCUGCAUGGAGCCGACCUUGAAAUACCACCCUUUAAUGUUUGAUGUUCUAACGUUGGCCCGUAAUCCGGGUUGCGGACAGUGUCUGGUGGGUAGUUUGACUGGGGCGGUCUCCUCCUAAAGAGUAACGGAGGAGCACGAAGGUUGGCUAAUCCUGGUCGGACAUCAGGAGGUUAGUGCAAUGGCAUAAGCCAGCUUGACUGCGAGCGUGACGGCGCGAGCAGGUGCGAAAGCAGGUCAUAGUGAUCCGGUGGUUCUGAAUGGAAGGGCCAUCGCUCAACGGAUAAAAGGUACUCCGGGGAUAACAGGCUGAUACCGCCCAAGAGUUCAUAUCGACGGCGGUGUUUGGCACCUCGAUGUCGGCUCAUCACAUCCUGGGGCUGAAGUAGGUCCCAAGGGUAUGGCUGUUCGCCAUUUAAAGUGGUACGCGAGCUGGGUUUAGAACGUCGUGAGACAGUUCGGUCCCUAUCUGCCGUGGGCGCUGGAGAACUGAGGGGGGCUGCUCCUAGUACGAGAGGACCGGAGUGGACGCAUCACUGGUGUUCGGGUUGUCAUGCCAAUGGCACUGCCCGGUAGCUAAAUGCGGAAGAGAUAAGUGCUGAAAGCAUCUAAGCACGAAACUUGCCCCGAGAUGAGUUCUCCCUGAGACUUAGAGUCUCCUGAAGGAACGUUGAAGACGACGACGUUGAUAGGCCGGGUGUGUAAGCGCAGCGAUGCGUUGAGCUAACCGGUACUAAUGAACCGUGAGGCUUAACCUUACAACGCCGAAG
rnacentral:rRNA from 1 species